rnacentral:lncRNA from 1 species
AGAGAGCAAGAUCAUGAGCAGUGGGGGAGCGGCAGAGGGAGAAAGAGAAUCCCAAGCAGACUCCACGCUUGAGUGCGGAGCCUGACACGGGGCUCGCUCUCACGACCACCUGAGCUGAAAUCAAGAGUCGGACACUUAACUGACGAAGCCACCUGGGCGACCCAUAGAGCUUCUCAGAAUUUUAGAUCAUCUGUUCUACUCCAACCAAGGGAUGCUCGUGUAUGUAAAGCAUGAAGAGUGGGCAGUGACGGCUCUGCCACCAGCAGGAGUAGGGGCCAGCAUCAACAGUGCCAUCCUGAGGAGUCUCCGGCAGCUACACAUCCCACGGAGCUCGUCCUGUGGCCGGCUGGCUUUCCCAGAAGGGCACAUGUCUUUUGGCCAUUACCCAGAAGGCCAAAGGCUGCCAUCCUGGCAUCUUGUGGGCAAGAGGCAGGGAUUCCACGUGUGGGCCAUGGGACCAGCAACUCCGAACAAACAGCGUUCCUUGGAUCGUCCACAAUACCAUCUCGUGUUCUGCGGCUGUUCGUCAACUUCCUCGAGACGUGUUUGCAUGGAGCGUGAGUUGGGAUUGCUCCCUGGGAGAACAAGUUGCCACACGUAUCAGAAUAUAAAAUCCAGGAACCAGCCCUGCAGAUGCACUCGCAUGCGUGCCGCGAGGCCGUGGAUAUUGAAAUGAAUAUAUUUCAUUUGAAAUAUUCAAAUAAAUAUCCAAAGGCUUUUGACCUCUACUUUGCCUUCUCUUUCACGGACGACACCAGCCAGGAGGUUUCGCCUCUUUCCUCUUGUCCCUGAUGGAAGAAUCCAGAGGAAUACUUCUGUUGCAGCCUCAAGACGACUCAUUACUUAAACCCUAGAAAUAAAAUAGAAUCUCAACACGUG